rnacentral:rRNA from 1 species
AGUGAACGCUGGCGGUAGGCCUAACACAUGCAAGUCGAACGGCCGCACAGUAAGAGCUUGCUCUUACGGGUGGCGAGUGGCGGACGGGUGAGGAAUACAUCGGAAUCUACUUUUUCGUGGGGGAUAACGUAGGGAAACUUACGCUAAUACCGCAUACGACCUACGGGUGAAAGCAGGGGAUCUUCGGACCUUGCGCGAUUGAAUGAGCCGAUGUCGGAUUAGCUAGUUGGCGGGGUAAAGGCCCACCAAGGCGACGAUCCGUAGCUGGUCUGAGAGGAUGAUCAGCCACACUGGAACUGAGACACGGUCCAGACUCCUACGGGAGGCAGCAGUGGGGAAUAUUGGACAAUGGGCGCAAGCCUGAUCCAGCCAUACCGCGUGGGUGAAGAAGGCCUUCGGGUUGUAAAGCCCUUUUGUUGGGAAAGAAAAGCAGCAGGUUAAUACCCCGCUGUUCUGACGGUACCCAAAGAAUAAGCACCGGCUAACUUCGUG